CCUACGGGGGGCAGCAGUGAGGAAUAUUGGUCAAUGGACGAGAGUCUGAACCAGCCAAGUAGCGUGAAGGAUGACUGCCCUAUGGGUUGUAAACUUCUUUUAUAUGGGAAUAAAAUGUUCCACGUGUGGGAUUUUGUAUGUACCAUAUGAAUAAGGAUCGGCUAACUCCGUGCCAGCAGCCGCGGUAAUACGGAGGAUCCGAGCGUUAUCCGGAUUUAUUGGGUUUAAAGGGAGCGUAGGUGGAUUGUUAAGUCAGUUGUGAAAGUUUGCGGCUCAACCGUAAAAUUGCAGUUGAAACUGGCAGUCUUGAGUACAGUAGAGGUGGGCGGAAUUCGUGGUGUAGCGGUGAAAUGCUUAGAUAUCACGAAGAACUCCGAUUGCGAAGGCAGUUCACUGGACUGUAACUGACACUGAGGCUCGAAAGUGUGGGUAUCAAACAGGAUUAGAUACCCGUGUAGUC
rnacentral:rRNA from 1 species